UUACUUUUUAAAGGAAAUAAAGGAGACUAUGCUGAACCAUAUGCUUGCAUUGAACCCGUCUCAACAAGGCAGGCAUCAUCAGACGGUCUCUUUGCAACCAUAAAACGUUGUCCAACCAGACCAAUAUAUAUGUCAGCAUCAUAUAAACAAGGUGUUAACACAAAUCAGAAUCCCAGCUUCAGUUGCCGGUCCGAUGGAGGAAAUCCCAACGUCAAAAUUCCCGUUCAAGAUAGCACCGGACAUUCGGACACUGCUGGGGAAAAGUGGAGCAGCAACAAUCAAUCUAACAUCAACCACAAAUCGAUACGAUGACAAUUUUCAUUGAUGUGUUUCAUCUGUUCAUCUUAAAUAAUUUAAUCGUCAUCGGAUUUUUACAUUCGUCGGGAAUGUGCGAAAAGCCCUGCCAAAACCGAAUUUUUACUCUAGUCAAUCAAAAUAUGUAAAUUGUUAUUAUAAAUAAAUGUGUUUUAAAAAUGA